AUAAUCUAAAAUAAACAAUAAUGGACAUAUUUACACCAAAUAUAUGUAUAACUUGAAGCCGCAUUUUAAAGGUGUCAGCGAACAAAGCCUGCUGCAGGCCAUGUGAUGUGCAUUUGGCGUCUAACAUUUUGCGCGGCAGCAGCAGCCGAAGCGGAGCGGACGCGCCAGCUCCAGGUCCUUGUAGAUUCUCCCAGCCGGCUAACUGCCAGCCGAUGAUGUAUUGCAGCGCAGCAAUAAGUAAACCACAAGAGCACCUCGCAAACACACACACACACACACACGAGCGCACGAUAUUCAAACAAUUACCAACACUAACAGAGAUUGCCACCCACCUAUCAGGGCUGGUUGUGCGGGCGGAAGGCGCACACGCCGCUGACAUUGAUGAUUGCGGCUCGUCGUUGUCGUCGGCGACGGCAUUGUUGUUGUCGGCGUCUAGAGACGCUCGAACGUGUGCUCAUAAUAAUCCCCGAUAUAUAAGCCAGCCAAAAACCCGCCGAGGCACACACAUACAUAAAUAAACAUGUGUCGCCGUGUGUUGUAACGAAAAGUGUAAAAUAAGCAUCAAUCAUCGCUUAUUCGAGUUGUCAUCAAUCACACACACGUUGCACACACACACACCCGCAGAGAGAGAGAGAGAGAGAGAGUGAGAGAGACGCACACACUGCGGUGCCAGGCAAAAAGUACAGGAACAUAAAGCAACAAGCGCUGUUAUCCUUGGUGGUUAGUUGCCCUCCCUACCCCGCCUUCUCCUCAAUGCAAAGCAUUUACAAAUUUGCUGGCUGGGGCAGCCUUUAAAUUUGCCACCCCUUUCGUACAACGCUCGCCACGCUGCACACUGGACACACAUUCACACACACACACACACAAACCAACCAUCUAAUCAGCUUUGCCGCCAGUUAUUAAAUCAUCAGGUUGCACGAUCAGGCAGCCGCACGCCCAUUCCCGCUGUCACAUGUCUGUCAACAGUCAGCGAUGAAAAGAAGUAUAUAAUAUAUAUAUAUAUAUGUAUAUAUAUUGUGCGUAACCAAAUAUCCUGUUGUUACUCCUGCUGCUGCCCCCGGCAGUUGCGUGCGUCAAGCCAUAAAAUAAAGAUUUAAUCGGCAUUUAUAACCCAACGAGUUGUCAAACGAGCGGCCCUUCAACUGGAUGAUGAGCAUGUCAUUUGUUGGGGCCCCGGCCAAGUAAUGUCCGACUACGUUCAAGGCGAAAUGCCAUUCAAGCUGACUUUAUGUAAAAAUUUAAAAAAAAAAAAAAAAAAAUGUUUAUGUCAUUCACUGGAUCGAUUAGAAGCGGGCGACAGGGGAUGCAACUGGCACUGGGCAGCUGGAACAGGACCGAGAGCGGGUAUUCAACGAGCCAAAUAUGCGUGACCACGAAUCUCACUUAAACUAUUCAAUAAAGGAUUAAGGCAAUCGACUCAGCUCGUCGUCUAGAUCAAGAUGAUUGGAUAUGCUUUCUCAUCUCUUAUGAAUCUCAACGGGCUCCGGAUAAACACAAUUUAGCGAAUUUCGUAUAUCAUACUAGAAAAUUUCAGUGGGCAUGAAAAUCGAGCAAGGAGGAGGACAAUUAAACUAUUUAUAUCUUAUCAGACCUUUAUACAAAAACAAUCCAAAUGCGUGUUGGACAACAGUGGAAGGAGUUAGGAGAUUAAGCCUUGGCCUCAUGGACACAUAUCAAACUUUGUAGAGCAGCACACACACACACAGAGAUAGAGAGAAAGAUAGAGAGCAGCACAUCCAGCAAUGAAAAUGAUAAUACCAGCUAAGUGAAGCGCACAACUUGCCAAUUCAAAUCAUAACAAUUGGUGGCAACCGAAAGGUAAGGCCAGCGCAAUGACAACAAAUGGCGUGCCAAAAGAGCGGAUCUAAAAACAAGUGAAACUCAAAAAUGCCCGCGCACCGGACAGACAAUCAAAUAAAGUCACGCCGCUUUAACAUUUGCGGUUGCCGGCAGCAGACAGAAGGAUAUGCGUUUGGUGGACAAGGGGUUAAGUGAUGGACAGGUUGCAGCUGGGUAACUCGAUAUGCGCAGACAGGCAUACACACCCAAGCACUCGCACACACAUGGAUGCAGGCGAACAAACUUGCAAAGGCUGCAGGACAUGUACACGAAAUUAAUUUGCAACGAAGGGCACGAGGCGCGCGCUUUUAAUCCAACAUGAUAUCGCCCGCAAAAUGUAAAACGUAGAGCUGGCACCCAGCUGCUGAACCUGAACCUGAAUAUGCCCCAGCCCGCACCCAGUACCGCUCGCAACGACUGCAACAAAAAUCAGAAAGCGGAUUAAACGUAUUCGUGAGAAUUCGUCAACGAUUUCACACCUGUUCGACGGCCGCGCUUCGAGUGUGAGCUGUAGGCGUGGUCCGGCAUAAAAUGCCAAUUAGAAUCUCAAGCUCGCAGUCCGUUGGGCCGCGUCACUGUGACGCCUUCGGGCAAUAACAAUAGCAACAGCAUCCAGGGCGGCUCCUGCUCCUGCUCCUUGCCCACCCCGCUUGCCGGCAACUCGCACGACUUUUUCGCCAACGCAAAUUGUUUAUCGCCUUCGGGGCGCUUUAUUAACUUUACGGCUGGCCGAGCCGGACCGGACCGAACCGGGCCGUAGACUGGGCAGGAAGAUCUGAACUCUCGGCUCAGUUCCACUGACCUGACCUGCGCCCAGCCAUAGGGGGCUUUCAAACAUCUCAAGCUUGCGUCUUUCAUUUGGAUUAAGGACUACAAAAUAUAUCAACAUGUGAACUAUACAGAGUAGAAAGAACCAGAGCUGUACGAUAAUUAAUUUAGUUGUAAAUGUAUCUGAAUUGUCAUUCACAAAUUCAAUUGGCUCAAUUGAAAUUUAUGUGACUAAGGAAAUAAGAGAAGAACCGGCGCUUUUGGAAAUCCCACCCGCAACUGUGGAAAGUUGGCGGAAAGCGGUUACGCAUUUUAAACUAUUCGCAAAUUUCAAGUCUCUUGGAUGGAAAAUGCGGAUUAAAUGUUGUUAUCCGUCUUCAAGCUUCGCACGAGAUGCCUUAAAUAGCCUUGCUCAAUACUUGGUGCUUAUUUCGAUGCAUACAAACUCAUGGAUGGGGUCCUUUCGAGUCUUUAUUGUAUAUUUAUCAAGUUUACCUCUAUAAAAAACCUCGAGCAAAGGAGGAGUCGACGGCUUUAACUUUGGAGGAGACGACGGCUUUAAUAUUGGACGAGGCGACGGUGGCUCUUGGUUGGCCAAUGCCACCUGUGUCUAUUGACAAAUCUGAUUCGUAUUAUAAACAUAGCUAUUCCUUAUAUUAAAAAUAAAAGGCAUGUU